UUUGUGGGUACGAGAGUGUAACUUUAGAUUUUGAUAUAUUAAAAACUUUUUGUUACAACAAUGUUAACAACAAACAUCAUCCCAACUUAAACUCACUUAAAAACAACAACACUUUCCAACAAGAAACCAAAAAUCACAAAACGAACAACAACGGGUUUAAAUAAACAACGCAUACAUCAUAUAUCAAAACAGAUAAAAAUACUUAACCACAACAUUAAAAUACAAUAUUUAUAACUGAUUACAACAAUCAAACUAAUAUCAUUUAGUCUAAACAUAAUUUCCCUAACAUCCUUAUCAUUUUUAACUCGCACCCACCCAUGCAGGACAUCAUGUCUCUCAAUACUUCUAAUUUUUUCGCCUUCAGGUAUGUCUUCGUUUAACCAACAAAUCAAAUCCCUCUAUAAUUUCUCGAAACUACAAAUGUUCUAGAAUAGCAUCUCUAUCGGAGACUUGUCUCUCGAAUAAAUCAUUUUUCCUUUGCGGCGACGAACCAUGUUAGCAUAAUUACAAAGUAAUAGGAAUAGAUGUGGAAAAAUGGAUCACUCAGACCUCUAUUUAUACUACAAUAACACAACACACACUGUUGCCAAGUCAAUUGGUGACUGCAUUUAAACGUUACACAUAUGCGCCAAUUGGAUUGACAACACUAGGUUCAAAAGCCAAUCCAAUUAGCGUCUGUUCUUAAAAUUUGAAUGUACUAACCAAUUGGUCUGACACCAGUGCUUUGACGUGUUUUUUUUUGAAAAUGAAUUAUUUUGAAAAAUUAUCUGAAAUAUGAAUUAUUUUCGGAAUUUUUUUAAAAACUGAAUUUAUUUGAAUAAAAAAAUAAUUGUUUAUACCUGAUCCAAUGGUAGACUAGGAAAUGAUGACACACCCUAAAAAGGAUGGAUACGGAAAUUUGUAACAUGGAAUGGCUAGAUCUCUGUUGCAAAACAUCUUGCAUAAACUUCACUUCCAUGGAGCCUUAUUCAUCUUUCAAAUUUAUGCAUAUGUGGACCACUCACCCUAAUUGUUUGGAGGUUAUUAAAGCUAGUUGAAAGGUCAAAAUUUAUGGAUGCCCUAUGUUUGUUUUAUCUGAGAAGCUCAAGUCCCUAAAGAGCACUCUCAAAUUUUAGAAUAACAACACUUUUGAAAAUGUUCAUGCUAUGGUGAAACAGGCUGAGCUUGAGAUUCAAGAUGGAUGAGAGAGAGAGUGAGAUUAUUAUAGAAAGAAAAUAUUAUAGUAAAAUGGCUUCUCGAUG
rnacentral:lncRNA from 1 species